CAACAGUAAAGAGGUAACACAACUGAGAACCACACAUUUGCUCUCAAGCAAAUUUCACUACAAAUUUUAUUUUUGCAACAAAAAUUUAUAACAUCUAGUAGAAAUGGAAUUUUAUUUUUGUGUUAAAAGUUGACUGCACUAUUUGACAAGUUUGUGACAGUGUCGGAUGAGUUGUAUUAUCAAUCCAUAUUGUUGUUCAGGAGCAGACAUGCCAUCCAAGAAGAAGUGUUCGUGUUUUCUAAUUCCAGAAGUCAACAGAGUUUCCUGAUAUUUUGAGUGAUUGAAUUCUGCAUGUAAAGUGUUUUGUUGAAAGCUAUUCCAAAUAAAAAUAAAAUUUGUAUUUUGAAUA